AGAGUGAACGCUGGCGGCAGGCCUAACACAUGCAAGUCGAGCGGCAGCACAGUCGUAGCAAUACGAUGGGUGGCGAGCGGCGGACGGGUGAGGAAUGCAUCGGAAUCUACCUUGUUGUGGGGGAUAACGUAGGGAAACUUACGCUAAUACCGCAUGAGACCGUAAGGUGAAAGCGGGGGACCUGUGAGGGCCUCGCGCGACAAGAUGAGCCGAUGCCGGAUUAGCUAGUUGGUGGGGUAAAGGCCCACCAAGGCGACGAUCCGUAGCUGGUCUGAGAGGAUGAUCAGCCACACUGGAACUGAGACACGGUCCAGACUCCGUACGGGAGGCAGCAGGUAGGGGAAUAGUUGGAACAAGUGGGGACGCAAGCCCUGACUCCGAGCCAGUCGCCGCGUGUGUAGAAGAAGGCCGUUUACGGUUGGUAAAGUCGUACGUUUUAGUUAGGGUAAAGGUAAAGUACCGUUA
rnacentral:rRNA from 1 species